UAGGGAAUAUUAGAAAUGGACGAAAGUCUGAUCUAGCAACACCGCGUGUGCGAAGAAGGCCUUCGGGUCGUAAAGCACUUUUUGGAAGGAAUAGGAAGGAAUGUACUUCCAGAAUAAGUCUCGGCUAACUACGUGCCAGCAGCCGCGGUAACACGUAGGAGGCAAACGUUAUCCGGAUUUACUGGGCGUAAAGCGCGUGUAGGUGGUUCUGUAAGUAGGGCGUGAAAGCUCCUGGCUCAACUGGGAGAGGCCGUUCUAAACUACAGAACUAGAGGAUGGUAGAGGGAGGUGGAAUUCCAGGUGUAGCGGUGGAAUGCGCAGAUAUCUGGAGGAACACCAGCGGCGCAGGCGGCUCACUAGACAGUUUCUGACGCUAAGACGCGAAAGCGUGGGGAGCAAACA
rnacentral:rRNA from 1 species